CCAAAGGCUCUUUUCAGAGCCCCUCACAGUACCAAAAAAGGAGCCU
rfam:Monodelphis domestica chromosome 2, whole genome shotgun sequence.